rnacentral:lncRNA from 1 species
AAGGAUCAAUUCGCAGUUUAUUUAUGAUGGAUGAGUCAGAUUUGUUGUUACCUUUGUAGCAAUUCAGAAAUAUGGAAGCUUUGGUAAAGGUUAGUGAGAUGAUAAGUCUAAGAUCUCUCUUUACUCUAUAGAAUAUUUUGAAUCUGUUAUAUAUUUCUUAAUAAAUAGUAUAUUUAUAUAACAUAGUUUUUGUUGUCAUUAUAUGUUGAAAUCUUUAUAAUUUAUUAGAGAUUAGCAAUACUUUAACUUCUUCUAUUGUUUGUUCUGAUUUAAACGUAAUACUGCUUUUAUAUAUGAAUUAGUUAACUUCUGUUCAAGUAAUCUUAAUAUCCGAAAAAAUGGAUUCUACAAAUUCAUCCUUGAAUUAGUAGAAUCGAAAUAGUUAACUUCAUAUUGCUUAAUAUGGUGUUUAAGUAACAGAUAACUUUUGGAAAACAAAGUUAAUCUCUUAUAGGUAAUAGAUGUCUGCAAGUUUUUGAAAAAAAAAGAACUUGUUCAUAACAGAAUAAGUAUGGUACAGAUAAGCUCUUCAAUGGAAGACUGAUAUCACUAACUCCAUUACUUGCCACCUGACCAUUUCCAUACUCGCUUGUACCUGUUCACAGAGUAAAAUAGAAUAGUUUUUAAUUGUGUAACAGGUCAUUACUAUGAUCAGUUGUUAUUGGUUGUUACCUCUUAAACCAAAUGUCUCUUGCAAUGUUUAGCCUUAUAGGUUCUGAAAGACUUUCUUGAACACCACAUUCAACGUUUCCUUCUGCGGCUUUCCUUCUUUGGUGAAUGCUUGCUCAUCUGCCAUUUUUUAGAGGAUUCGUGAAGUGGUAAUGGUAAAGCUUUAAAAGGUGAGUUCUUUAGAAGAAAGCUACCUAUAUUUAUAGUAAUCGUAUGGAGUCUUUAAUUUUAUUAGGGUUUAGAGAAUUUCGACCCUUUAAGAUAAUUUCGAAUUAGAAUCUUUAAAGUAUAUGCUUGAUUUUGGGCGAUUUUUUGCAUAACAUUUAUGAUUUUAUUGUUUUGCAUAUAAUUUAUGAUUUUUUUAAUAUAGUCUCGAACUGAAUAUGGAUUUGAAAAGAUUGUGUGAUUUUAAAUAAAAACUAAUAAAGGAAAUCUAUAAGGUUAGAAUUCUAUAUCUUUCAAUAUCAUUGAUUUUUCCGUGACCUGUUUUUUAAAAAUUCGCAUUCAAAGUUUUAGUUGAUAUGAAAAGAUUUUUGCGAGAAUUGCAUCUAAUUAUUUGUCAAAAUUAAUUGCUAACAUAUUCUCGAUUAAGGAAUAAGUAAGGAAUAUGCUUGAUUUGUUAUUAUAUCAAAUAUAAAUCAAUUAGUUUUCCUUUAAUAAGUGUAAUAUAUGAGAUUGGUUUGUUAAGGAAAUAUAAGAGUAGUGAUAUUCUAAUCCGAAUAAAUAGAUUUGCUGGUUAUGGUAAUGUAUUAUUAAUGUUUAUUUUCUUUUUAAUUACUUGCAGAUCCCAUAAACGCAUAUGCUUCUGUCUGGGCCUAAAAAUCUCGUAAGCCCAAUAAGAAGAUUUAUCAUUCGAAUCGGGUCUGCGUUUUUUUAAGAAACAGGAUCCGAAUAGAUGAUCCAAGAUCCGCGUCCCAGUUAUAGUCAAUUGUCAAUUUUACCCCUCUUCGAAAUUUUUUAUUUUGUCGUUUAAAUCUUAAAUUGUAAUGGCAUUCUCUUGUAAUUUUUUACACUUUCUAAGGUUAGUUUUUAGGAA